rnacentral:rRNA from 1 species
CUAGUCUUAUCGGUGGAUCACUCGGCUCGUGGUUCGAUGAAGAACGCAGCUAACUGCGAUAAAUAGUGCGAACUGCAGAGACAUUGAGCACAAAAGCCUCGAAUGCACAUUGCGCCAUUGGGUUCACUCCCUUUGGCACGCCUGGUUCAGGGUCAUU